rnacentral:rRNA from 1 species
UCCUACGGGAGGCAGCAGUAGGGAAUUUUCGUCAAUGGGGGGAACCCUGAACGAGCAAUGCCGCGUGAGUGAGGAAGGUCUUCGGAUCGUAAAGCUCUGUUGUAAGAGAAAAACGGCACUCAUAGGGAAUGAUGAGUGAGUGAUGGUAUCUUACCAGAAAGUCACGGCUAACUACGUGCCAGCAGCCGCGGUAAUACGUAGGUGGCGAGCGUUAUCCGGAAUGAUUGGGCGUAAAGGGUGCGUAGGUGGCAGAUCAAGUCUGGAGUAAAAGGUAUGGGCUCAACCCGUACUGGCUCUGGAAACUGAUCAGCUAGAGAACAGAAGAGGACGGCGGAACUCCAUGUGUAGCGGUAAAAUGCGUAGAUAUAUGGAAGAACACCGGUGGCGAAGGCGGCCGUCUGGUCUGGAUUCUGACACUGAAGCACGAAAGCGUGGGGAGCAAAUAGGAUUAGAUACCCUAGUAGUCCACGCCGUAAACGAUGAGAACUAGGUGUUGGGGGAAUAACUCAGUGCCGCAGUUAACGCAGUAAGUUCUCCGCCUGGGGAGUAUGCACGCAAGUGUGAAACUCAAAGGAAUUGACGGGGGCCCGCACAAGCGGUGGAGUAUGUGGUUUAAUUCGAAGCAACGCGAAGAACCUUACCAGGCCUUGACAUCCCUUGCAGAGGUAUAGAGAUAUAUCCGAGGUUAUCAAGGAGACAGGUGGUGCAUGGUUGUCGUCAGCUCGUGUCGUGAGAUGUUGGGUUAAGUCCCGCAACGAGCGCAACCCUUGUGAUAUGUUACUAACAUUGAGUUGAGGACUCAUAUC